GAUGAACGCUGGCGGCGUGCCUAAUACAUGCAAGUCGAGCGAACAGACGAGGAGCUUGCUCCUCUGACGUUAGCGGCGGACGGGUGAGUAACACGUGGAUAACCUACCUAUAAGACUGGGAUAACUUCGGGAAACCGGAGCUAAUACCGGAUAAUAUAUUGAACCGCAUGGUUCAAUAGUGAAAGACGGUUUUGCUGUCACUUAUAGAUGGAUCCGCGCCGCAUUAGCUAGUUGGUAAGGUAACGGCUUACCAAGGCAACGAUGCGUAGCCGACCUGAGAGGGUGGUGCGGCACACUGGGAAUGAGACACGGGCCAGACUCCCACGGGAGGGAGGAGGGGGGAAUAUUUCACAAAGGGGGAAAGCCCGAACGAGCAAAGCCGCGGGGGUGAAGAAGGUUUUCGGAUUGGAAAACACUUUUUGUUGGGAAGAAACAAAGUUAGAAAAAACCUUGCUGUUUUGACGGUACCAAAAGAAAAAACCCCGGCUAACUUCGGG
rnacentral:rRNA from 1 species